rnacentral:rRNA from 1 species
GACGAACCGUGCGAACGUUAUUCGGAAUCACUGGGCUUAAAGCGCGUGUAGGCGGGCCAUCACGUCGGUCGUUGAAAGCCCCCGGCUCAACCGGGGGAACCGGCGCCGAUACGAGUGGCCUGGAGGGGGGUAGGGGGACCUGGAACUUCCGGUGGAGCGGUGAAAUGCGUUGAGAUCGGAAGGAACGCCCGUGGCGAAAGCGAGGUCCUGGACGCCUACUGACGCUGAGACGCGAAAGCCAGGGGAGCGAACGGG